ACUGAAACAUAUCACUCAUCUAGGAUGAAGAGGACGAGGAAACUGUUUCUGCUGCCUUUACAGAGGGGGAUACAGAAAGGCCUAUAGAGAGCAUGGCUGGGCAGCAGCAGGAGGGUCUCUCAACUUCCACUGCACAGAUUGACACAGUGGAAAAAAAAUAAAGAAAACCGAUAAAGAAAUGUUAUACUUGGACCGCCAGAUUAGGAAGGCAGAUCUGGAAAUUGAAAUACUGGAGCACAAGCUAGA